GAAAUGCGAUAAGUAAUGUGAAUUGCAGAAUUCAGUGAAUCAUCGAAUCUUUGAACGCACCUUGCGCCCCUUGGUAUUCCGAGGGGCAUGCCUGUUUGAGUGUCAUGGUAUUCUCAAUGCCCUACAUCUUUGCGGAUGAAGGUGUAUUGGAUUUGGGGGUUUAUGUUGGCUCUCUUGAGAGUCAGCUCCUCUUAAAUGUAUUAGCAGAGAUGUUACUGCUACUCUCCAGUGUGAUAAUUGUCUACACUGUUAGUAGUGCAGUAAAAAUUAAGUCUAUGCUUCUAAUCGUCUCCGGACAGUUUUUUGACAUCUGACCUCAAAUCAGGUAGGACUACCCGCUGAACUUAA
rnacentral:misc_RNA from 1 species